rnacentral:snoRNA from 1 species
UGCAGAUGAUGUAAAAGAAUAUUUGCUAUCUUAACAUCCAUGAUGACAAUCUCCCACCAAGAUCUCUGAUGCA